ensembl:lncRNA
CAUGAACAGUAUGUUGUGCCAUAGUAUCAGCCUCAAGUUGGAUAGAAUUUGUUUUGUUGUUUUUUAGAUGGCCAAAAAGCUCAAUUUUAGUCUCAUCUGACCAGAGUACCUUCUUCCAUAUGUUUGGGGAGUCUCCCACAUGUCCUUUAGUGAACACCAAACGUGUUUGCUUAUUUUUUUCUUUAAGCAAUGGCUUUUUUUUGGCCACUCUUCGGUAAAGCCUAGCCCUGUGGAGUGUAUGGCUUAAAGUGGUCCUAUGGACAGAUACUCCAAUCUCCACUGUGGAGCUUUGCAUCUCCUUCAGGGUUAUCUUUGGUCUCUUUGUUGUCUCUCUGGUUAAUUCCCUCCUUGCCUGUACGUGAGUUUUGGUGUGGCGGCCCUCUCUUGCCUAACACUGAACUGUACUUCGCCACAACAUUGUCCCUGACCUGUUUGGAGAGCUCCUUGGUUUUCAUUGUGCCGCUUGCUUGGUGGUGUCCCUUGCUUAGUGGUGUUGCAGACUCUGGGGCCUUUCAAAACAGGUGAUACUGAGAUCAUGUGACACAGAUUGCACACAGGUGGACUUUAUUUAACAAAUUAUUUCACUUCUGAAGGUAAUUGGUUGUACCAGAUCUUAUUUAGGGGCUUCAUGGGAAAGUGGGUGAUUACAUGUGCACCACUUUUAUACAUUUUUUUAUUUUUGAGAAUCUUUUGAAACAAGUUAUUUUUUCAUUUCACUUCACCAAUUUGGACCAUUUUGUGUAUGUCCAUUAUGGACAAAAAUCCAUUUAAAUUACAGGUUGUAAUGCAACAAAAUAUGAAAAACGCCAAGGGGGGGUUAGGACUGUAACCACCAGCUUCUUUCUAUGGUGCUACCUGGUCCAGGGUUAGGACUGUAACCAAUCAACUUGAGAAAUAAGCCGGAGCUGAGAGGAUCACCAAAACUAAAGAGCGUACAACCAUGCCGACAACCAUCCGUGGAGAUAAGUGGAUAAAGGCCUGGACAAUGGCCCACACUGAAAAAACGCAUGGUUGUCAAGAAAGCGGCCACUGUAAUGUGCCUCGAUGGGGGCUCAGGGCGGUACCAUUCUGGUCAUCUGAUGAAAGUGCACAUGGAUCAGAUUCAAACUCUGAUUACCGAGAUCGAAUCAUUGAAGGCAGACCAGCAGAAAAAGAAACAUUAUCUGAGGGCAGAAAUACGGAGGACAGCUGAUGCAUUGUUCCAGACCCAGGCAGUAUUGGUGGAGAGUCACUCGUUGUUGGCGGAGAGUCACUUGUCAUUGGUGGAGAGUCAGGCAGCAUUGACAGAGGGUCAGGCAGAGAAUGAUGCGUUAAAGAGGGCGAGGAAUGAGAUGGAGUCACAAUUCAUGCCAGGCACACCUGUAAGAUCUGGAACUCAACAUACGUGGCGGCGGGUUCAUCAGGUUUUCGGGUUUUCACACUGACAUUUCCAUUCCUCUUCUGACAACAGAACUUGAUGAACUGCUCACCAGGCACAGCAAGGGUCGUCUAGACCGUUAUGCUGUUCUGCUGUUCCAAGGAUGUGUAACCGAAGAGGGAUACCACGAGUGGACACAGAAUACCAACUGGGAUGGACCCCGAGGCAAAUGUGGCUUACCAGUAAACCUCCUGGUGUUUAUUAUUAAUACUGUGUCUCAGAAGUUUCUGUCCAUGACUGAUGCAACCGGAAAAAGCAUUAAAGACCGAGUUAAUGAGUACUUGAGGUCACAGAGAAAGUCUAGACAUGGCCGCUCUCCCUUAUGUAAGGAAUUAGGCACUUUACUAUGUUUACUACUGUAUGUACUGUAGACUAUGUUUACUUGUUUACUUGCAAAGUAGCCUAAUGAACAUAUGCUGUUCUAUCUUCAAUAUGCUUUAAAUGCUUUAUUAUCCAAAUGUUUAAAGUGCAUGUGGGCAAUCUCAUGCAACCGCAAAAUGUUGGAUAAAGCAUAUACUGUACAGUACUGUUUUUCUUCAUCAACAUCUUUAUGCUUUUGUUAAUAAAAUAAUGAUCAAAAUACUCUUUCAAAAUGCAGAUGUUUAUUUCGUUAUGGAUCCAUAAUGAAUUACUAUGGGAAUUAACAUCA